rnacentral:rRNA from 1 species
AGCUACAGGCUUAACACAUGCAAGUCGAGGGGCAGCAUGGUCUUAGCUUGCUAAGGCCGAUGGCGACCGGCGCACGGGUGAGUAACACGUAUCCAACCUGCCGUCUACUCUUGGACAGCCUUCUGAAAGGAAGAUUAAUACAAGAUGGCAUCAUGAGUCCACAUGUUCACAUGAUUAAAGGUAUUCCGGUAGACGAUGGGGAUGCGUUCCAUUAGAUAGUAGGCGGGGUAACGGCCCACCUAGUCUUCGAUGGAUAGGGGUUCUGAGAGGAAGGUCCCCCACAUUGGAACUGAGACACGGUCCAAACUCCUACGGGAGGCAGCAGUGAGGAAUAUUGGUCAAUGGGCGAGAGCCUGAACCAGCCAAGUAGCGUGAAGGAUGACUGCCCUAUGGGUUGUAAACUUCUUUUAUAAAGGAAUAAAGUCGGGUAUGCAUACCCGUUUGCAUGUACUUUAUGAAUAAGGAUCGGCUAACUCCGUGCCAGCAGCCGCGGUAAUACGGAGGAUCCGAGCGUUAUCCGGAUUUAUUGGGUUUAAAGGGAGCGUAGAUGGAUGUUUAAGUCAGUUGUGAAAGUUUGCGGCUCAACCGUAAAAUUGCAGUUGAUACUGGAUAUCUUGAGUGCAGUUGAGGCAGGCGGAAUUCGUGGUGUAGCGGUGAAAUGCUUAGAUAUCACGAAGAACUCCGAUUGCGAAGGCAGCCUGCUAAGCUGCAACUGACAUUGAGGCUCGAAAGUGUGGGUAUCAAACAGGAUUAGAUACCCUGGUAGUCCACACGGUAAACGAUGAAUACUCGCUGUUUGCGAUAUACUGCAAGCGGCCAAGCGAAAGCGUUAAGUAUUCCACCUGGGGAGUACGCCGGCAACGGUGAAACUCAAAGGAAUUGACGGGGGCCCGCACAAGCGGAGGAACAUGUGGUUUAAUUCGAUGAUACGCGAGGAACCUUACCCGGGCUUAAAUUGCAGAUGAAUUACGGUGAAAGCCGUAAGCCGCAAGGCAUCUGUGAAGGUGCUGCAUGGUUGUCGUCAGCUCGUGCCGUGAGGUGUCGGCUUAAGUGCCAUAACGAGCGCAACCCUUGUUGUCAGUUACUAACAGGUUCUGCUGAGGACUCUGACAAGACUGCCAUCGUAAGAUGUGAGGAAGGUGGGGAUGACGUCAAAUCAGCACGGCCCUUACGUCCGGGGCUACACACGUGUUACAAUGGGGGGUACAGAGGGCCGCUACCACGCGAGUGGAUGCCAAUCCCAAAAACCUCUCUCAGUUCGGACUGGAGUCUGCAACCCGACUCCACGAAGCUGGAUUCGCUAGUAAUCGCGCAUCAGCCACGGCGCGGUGAAUACGUUCCCGGGCCUUGUACACACCGCCCGUCAAGCCAUGGGAGCCGGGGGUACCUGAAGUGCGUAACCGCGAGGAGCGCCCUAGGGUAAAACUGGUGACUGGGGCU